rnacentral:rRNA from 1 species
GAGUUUGAUCCUGGCUCAGGACGAACGCUGGCGGCGUGCUUAACACAUGCAAGUCGAACGGAGCACCCCUGAAAGAGUUUUCGGACAAUGGAAGGGAAUGCUUAGUGGCGGACUGGUGAGUAACGCGUGAGGAACCUGCCUUCCAGAGGGGGACAACAGUUGGAAACGACUGCUAAUACCGCAUGAUGUGUUUCGAUGGCAUCAUCGAGACACCAAAGAUUUAUCGCUGGAAGAUGGCCUCGCGUCUGAUUAGCUAGUAGGCGGGGUAACGGCCCACCUAGGCGACGAUCAGUAGCCGGACUGAGAGGUUGACCGGCCACAUUGGGACUGAGAUACGGCCCAGACUCUUACGGGAGGCAGCAGUGGGGAAUAUUGGGCAAUGGGCGCAAGCCUGACCCAGCAACGCCGCGUGAAGGAAGAAGGCU